ACCGGACGUGGGGGGGGGGGGGGGAAAUAACGAUGAAAAAACGUGUAUAACAGCGAAUCGGAGUGUUAAACGGCUCUGAGUCGAGCUGUCUCUCAGUUAAGGGAAGAUGUUAAAAAACGCCAAGCGAACCCCGGCCACAGAAAAAAGAAACAGAAGAGAUGCAAGAGGAAGACAUCAAUAAGUACAGAGAAAAUUGCCUGCGGGUGCUGGUGCCAGCGGCUGGGCAUGAGCCCAGGGUGCCCAGACCUUUCUGGAAAUGAGUUGGAGGACUUCAAGGGUUUCUGGUGAUCUUGAUUCCCUGAUCUUGGCUUCAUUGCUGUGCUGUGUUUGUCUCCAGGAACUAGAACAAGGAUAUUUGUCCCAGAAAAAUGCUGCCCUAUCUCUGAAUGGCACCUUCUCCUGUUCUUCCUCACAGCUGUGUUUUUACCAACAAACCUUGAUUCUUGUUACCAACAAUCCUUGGUUGGCUCCACAGUUAUCCAGCUAUUGGUGUUUGAGGCAUGCAACCUCUUAUCUUCUGGGCUUCUGUACUUGGGGCAACCAGAUUUAAUCCAUGAAACAGAUAGCAGCUAACAAGCAAGCUCUGAGUAAUGUCCAUGUGUUAAGAGAAAACAAAUUAUUUGUUGGUGGAAUUGCCUUGUCAAGCUUGAUAUGCUUCAAUGAUCUCAGAUGUAGGGGGAGGUUAACAAAGCUUGGGAAGAAAGGAUAUACGACUGAUAGUGGGCACAGAGAAUGCAGAGUUUACAGGCCACAAGAACAUGUGCUUGAACUUCCAAGACGGGGAAGAAACUAAUAAAGUGAACCCCGCAUCUGUGCUGAAAUCAGUUCUGACUGGGAAAACAGUAAUUCUGGCAGGGGGAAUCUGUGACAACUGACCCAAGAAACCCACCAACCCAAGAGAAGAGAAAGACUGGGCAUGAGAAACAAUAGAAUCAUUAACCAAAAGAAUACUAAUUAAUAAGAGAACUAUGUAGCACGUAACCAGUGAAUGCUAGUUCCUUUGUAUGCUAAAAUGUAUACAUUGUGAAGCUUUCUUAUUGUUCUGGAAUACCACUGAACACCCAGUCUUGCACAAUACUGCAAUAAAUAAUCAAUGCCUC